UUUUUUCUUUUUUUUUUUAUUAAUUAAUAAUGUAAAACAAAGAGUAAAUAACAAAGACUCUUAAGUUUUUCUCUUCCAAAAUGAAAGGAUUUUUUCUUUUUCUUUUUCUUUUUUCCUAUUUUGUCUAGGAGAAAUGUAUUUAGAGGCAUUUUUUAAACACCGCUAAGCGCUAAGCGUAGAAAAAAAGGCCGAGAACUUUAUCUUGGCGUUUUCAUUGCGUCUACAAUAUCUAUGUCGGGAAGUUAAUUUACUCGGCGCAAACCAAACAUUAGUGAUCGCUCGUGUACUUCAGAACAAGUAAUUGAAUCGACAUGCAUAUUCCUUUGUUGCUUUUACUCGUACAUGUCUUCGAUAUGGGCUAUGAUUAACUUGUAAAGGGGUGCCGAUACAACGGCAUAGCCAGUAUAUUUACGGUGCCUCGUGGCAGGGUACUGGGAUUGUUGGAAGCAAGAAUGUUGACUUUUGUUCUUGACCGAACAUUCGAUGUGGGAUAGCCGAACGUUCGAGACCAACUCUAAUGUUGAAUGUUCGAUGUUGGAAGUCAAAAUGUUCGAACAUUUGUCAUAUGUAUAGUCGACGUAUAUCAGAAGUAAAACCCACGCGUCUGGUAUGUAUGUCAAAAGGUACAUUGAACGUUCGAUCUAACCUAAAAUCGUUGGAUAAACAGUACACUGAACAUUCGACAAAACUAAUCGAACGUUCGACGUUUGGCAAAAAUGUGUAAGAAGAGCUCAUGCAUCCUUAUCUUCAAACACAAGAUCCCUAUAAAUACCCCCCACCCUCACCCCUUUCACCUCAUUUCUGCCUCUUUCUUCAAUAUGAUCCUAAAGUGAAAGUGAAAGAGUGUUUUGGAGAGAGAGAAUGAGCUCUCUUAGUUCUUGCUCCUCGAAGGAGCAUUCUGCAAGGUAGGGGCUUGAACGCAACACAGAAGAGCUCGAGCGCACCACAUAAGGGCUCAAGUGCACAAGAUUGGGAUCAAGUGCAUUCAGCGGCGUCAAAAUGCAAAGUAGCAGCAGCACUGUAGAGAAAAGAAGAAAAAGAAAAGAAUAUAAGCGUCGCGGAAAUGCAGAGUAGCAGCAGCAAUGCAAGGAAAAGAAGAAAAAGAAGAGAAUAUAGGGGCCAAAAUGCAUCCUGCAGUGCAUAAAAAUAGAUAAAACAUUGAACAAAAAUUGAUUUCUUCAUGAGGAGGAAAGGUCAAGAAUUUACCUAAUUGUAAUG